UCUGCAGGAGAGCAAUUCACACCCAACACAGAAAAACACAGCUGUGAGCAGUAAAUCCUGAGGGGUGCCACGAAAGGCUGAAUUCGAGUGAAACGCGUCGAAGCAAGAGCCGAUGAACAAGGACUCACAGGCAGAAGCGAAGUACUAUCACCAACAUUCAGCACCUGCCAAGUACCCACCACUCGCCAGCCCUGCAGGUUCAGCCAGGCUCACAGUAGCGCCUGCCCGGGGAGACCUAAGAAGGACGAGAGCGGGGAAGGAGGAAAUGAAACUGUCCAGGAAAACUGUGCCUAUUCUGCUUCAUAUUUUCAUUUAGGUGAUACGGAGACAUCUCUGAAGACCAACGGCACUGAUGUCAUGCUGGGGGAGAACAAUCAAAAUGCUAACGAGCACAGCACCGCAGCAGAUUACUUUGAGUGUGUGGACGAUGUGGGAAUGGGGUUUUGUUUCAAAGGGCGUGUGUUUGGUUCUGCUUCUUUAUAGUCAGGAGUGGAGCAUUUCUGGGUCUUUUGUACCUGCGUGGCUGCUGAUGUAAAUACUGAAAGAACAUAAACCAUGGCAGGGUACAUCACGUCGGUUAUCUCAACGGCAAAGCGGGGAGCAGGAAAAGGAAUACAAGAAUCCUGUUUCCAAAAGCUACCUUCCAUCCCAUCCCUCUCCUUUAAAACAUGAUACUUCUAAACAUGACUAGAAUAUACUGGGGGAAAAUCCAUACGGUCUUCCCCAUCUACACACUGCCGCUGGCGGGAUAAG